CCUCAUCGCAUGGUGGGGGGUGGAAAGCUUUUGUGGUUUUGGAUGGACUCGCGGCCUAUCAGCUUGUUGGUGGGGUAAUGGCCUACCAAGGCGACGACGGGUAGCCGGCCUGAGAGGGUGACCGGCCACACUGGGACUGAGACACGGCCCAGACUCCUACGGGAGGCAGCAGUGGGGAAUAUUGCACAAUGGGCGCAMGCY
rnacentral:rRNA from 1 species